UUAAUACUCCCUCCGUCUCAAAUUUUUUGUCUUAGAUUCGUAUAGAUAAACAUGACUUGAUACAUCUGUAUUUAAACAAAUUUAAGACAAGAAUUUUGGAACGGAGAGAGUACUAG
rfam:Triticum urartu cultivar G1812 contig1030552, whole genome shotgun sequence.